UGUUUUUGUGGAUACAGACUAACACGGCUACCCCACUUGACAACAUUACAACUGUUUGUUUAAACUACAAAGCUGCAUCUUUGGAUACCUUUACACCAAAAUACAAGUUAUUCUAAUGCCUUGAUAGACACUGAAAGUCAAAUGAUCUAUUUUACACAAAUUUAAAAUGAAAUUCAGUUAAUUUUGAUACUUGCGAGACUUACAAGCUGCAUUGAUUUCUUUAUGCAACUUGUGGGUGCUCAGAUGCAUCAGUUAAACUUUGCAAAAACUCUUUAAAUAAAACCCUUCUUUUUAGAAGACACACUAAACUAUGGGAAAGAAUCAGUGGUAUACAUUGAAGUUAGAGAAUGGCACCAAAAGAUAUCGCCAUAAACAUACCAUAAUAACAAAAUGGAAGAGCAUAGCAUGUUCAGUGACAAACACACAGGAAGAAUUUUAUACCACCUUUCCAGUACCAUUUUGACAGAACCAAAUAGUAAAGAAAAUUUAAAAAAAAAACAAAAAAAAAACCUCUUGCACAUCUGUGUCUUGACCUUUCCUUCUGUAUAACUUGAAAAAUCCUGCUAUACAUUUUCUAUCUUGAAAGUGGGUUUCCCCUCACACACCCAUGUUUAAAUUCAAUUGUGCAAGUGUCCUGCUGGGGUUGGUGGGGGAGCCAUGAAAUGGGAUUCCUAUCAUUAUUUGAUCACUCAUUUAUAGCAGUUGCUUAAAUGUCUGUAUUGAUAUGAAGGUGUUUGACUUUAAAAAAAAAAAAUAGGUUGCCAGAUUUCUAGUAAUUUCAAAACUUUUUGAGCAAAAAUGUUGAAGUGAUUAUGUUCUGGUAGACUUAAUUUCACAUUGAAAAGGUUAAAUUCUUAACUUUUAAUUUUAACAAUUCAUUAAGGUUAGUCUGCAUUUACAAAGGGCUAAAUGUCUUUUCUAGUACUUUAACUUAUUCUAACAGGACUCAGUUUCAUUAGUAUAUAUAUUGAUACCAGAUGACAAUCUUUCAAUGAGCAUACUGUUAAGAAUUUUUUCAAAAUUCUUAAAUUCAAAAGAACUAGGAGAUAGCCACACGAAUGUGAUUUUUGUAUUUAUAGACACCUGGUUAUAUUUUUGCCCCCUCUGCAUUUGGACCUCAUUAUCUAAGCCCAUUUAUUGUAUUUUGAAUAAUAAUAAUAAAAAGGUAAACACUCUUGCUAUAAGGCUAGUAAUAAAACAAAGCAAAGUAUCGCGAGGGAAUCUUAGUUUAGUAUAGAAGUAGUAUUACACUAAGCACCCAAUCCUGGAGUCCUAAUGCAAACAAAACCUUGGUUCAUUUCAACAGGAGUUUUGCUUGGUGAAGUACUACAAGGUUGGGUUCUUACUGUUUUCCUAUAUAUAGGUCAAAUCCUGAAAAUUUCCUAUCUGUAAUCUUUUCUAACUCAUUGACUUACAUAGAACAAUUUGUGUGAGUAAGGCUACUUGAAUUACUACAGCUUGCAAAAUUGGGCUCUCAAUCACUCAAAUGAACUAUUUGUGAGAGUGGCCAAGAGCCUUAUAGAAAGAGUGCACUGGGUGAUGCGUGUUUUCCUAUUUCUCUAAAAAAUGGGAGCUUCUGUUAACUUAAGACUUGUAUGAAGCUGCUUUGUGUGUAAUGAAUUGGCUUGCUUAAUCUGUCUGGACAAAGUCUAGAGUUACAAACUGGUAUAUUUUAAUUUAGCAUCUAAAAUCUAUUGCGUAGAAAAGAGUAUCUCAAUCUUUAAAAUGAAAAUCUUGAUUGUAGUUUUUAUUUUUUUAAAGCAAAACUUUACAUGGGCAAGGUAUAUCUGUCAAAUAACUGAGUAUCGGUCAGGAACCUGUGAAAUUUAACGUAGUUGAGUCCCUCUGGAGAAAUAUUUUAACAUCUUGUUUGGAGGUUACCAGAAGCUCUGAGUGACAAAUCAGAAUAUAUUGCAUCAUAUUUUCUGAUGUUAUCCAGAAACCUGUAAGUGUCCCUUUCCUGUUUUAACUCCUUCCUUUUAUUACCUGACUAUCAGGGAAGCGUGGUUGAGGCUGCCCUGACCUGACAUGUCAUGAUGUCGACUUGCUAGGUGGGGUUCGCAGGGGACAUUAACCAUUGGAAUUGUCGGAUAUUCAUCAGAUGCUACAAAUCUAGAUGUAUGAACAGAGUGUGAAGUGAAUGGGAAGCAGCUGAAACCAGGAUAAGAUCUAAAGAACAAUGCAAGAAGAGCUAGGAACACAUUUUUAGCUGUCUAGAGGUAGUAUGGUCUGGAGCAAUGAACAUUAGUUGGAAUUAAGGACUUGGUCUGCCACUGAUUUGCUCUGUGGCCUUUGACAAGUCACUUCACUUCUGUGCCUCAGUUUCACCAUCUGUAGAUGGGAAUAAUGCAGGGGUCUCAAACAUGCAGCAGUCUGUUGGGCUAUUUCCUGCAGCCUGUCAAGCGGCUCCUUUUUCCCCCCUCCUCCCGACCUACCUCCAGGGCGGGGGGCAAACUACAGCCCCCCUCGAGC